UUCUCACGCCUAUUUUCCUUCUCCUCUUCCAACUCAUUGCGCCGCCGUCACUACCAACUCUCUCCACCGUUUUGUUUGCUCCUUCUCCUUCGUCUCCGUAUAUAUCUCUACGCCGCAGUCGUACGCCGGAAAUAUCCCCUUUCAUCCCUCUCUGCUUCAACUGCUCCGGCACUCGCGACUGCCCAACCUUUUUCUACUCGUCGCUCACUACCCACCGGAUUCUUCCGCCAAAGACGAAAACCGCACUCUAUCUUCAGCAGCCCCUCCCUCCUUCAGUCGCUCAGUUCGCAGGGAUAAGUCUUUGCCCAUCUUCAUUUUCUUUCUUCGAGUCACCAAUUUGUAAACAAGAUACCACCUGGUUCUGAUGCCUCUCAUAAAUUACAAAACCCUCUCUGCUCUCCUCCUCUCCUUCCUGAAGAAUCUCCUCAUUCCACUUUGAAUUCAGGUUGCAAUAAUCAGAUGGCAAUUCGGUGGUUUUCCAGGUCGAAAUUGCCCAUUUUUGCUUUGGUAUUCCUACGGGGUUUAACGAGGAGACCAAUUAGAGAUGUCCCAUUACCAGUUACAUCGACGAUUACUGGUUUUCAGCCGGAUUCGAGCCGACCCAUAUGGGGAUUCCGGCUAUAUCACGACGGGAGGCCUCGGGGACCCCUUUGGAGAAGCCGGAAAGCAAUUGGUAAAGAAGCACUUUUCGUUAUUCAGGGAUUGAAGAGAUUCAAGGAAGAUGAAGAGAAACUCGGAAAGUUCAUGAAGAGUCAUGUUUCAAGGCUCUUGAAAUUGGAUAUGCUUGCUGUGCUUGGUGAACUUGAGCGGCAGGAGGAGGUUGCUUUAGCUGUCAAGAUAUUUAGGUUGAUUCGGAAGCAAGACUGGUACAAGCCUGAUGUUUAUAUAUAUAAAGACUUGAUUAUUGCAUUAGCUAGAAGUAAAAAGAUGGAUGACGCAAUGAAAUUAUGGGAAAGCAUGAGAGAGGAAAAUUUAUUCCCCGACUCUCAAACGUAUACUGAAGUCAUCAGAGGUUUCUUGAGAUAUGGAUCUCCUUCUGAUGCAAUGAACGUAUAUGAGGAUAUGAAGAAGUCUCCAGAGCCACCAGACGAGUUGCCAUUUAGAAUUUUAUUGAAAGGCCUUUUGCCACACCCCCUUUUGAGAAACAGAGUAAAGCAAGACUUUGAGGAGCUCUUUCCUGACCAGCAUGUGUUCGAUCCCCCAGAAGAGAUAUUCAGCCUACGUUGAGGCUGGAGCCCUUGCUUGUAGCUUGGCGUGUAUUCUGCUGUUUAUUCAUGAUGAAAAGAUGAAAAGUGUGAAUUAACAUGACGGUUUGUCAACGAACAUUAUUCCGGUUUCUUGAUCUUAUCCCUGCUGAAUCUGAAAACAACCAAGUGUGUGAAGCUUGACGAUAUGAAGCUGCAAGGAGAUGGAGUUGUUAUUGAUAACAUUUCUCUGGAUCUAUGACGACUUGGGAUUCAGAGAAGGGAAGGAAACGGUGAAAAUACCAAAACUUGAAUCAAAUGUUGGUGUUCAUUUCUGUUUUUAGAGAGUGCAGUUUGUUGAGGGAUCAUUGCCCAGAAAUUUUCUAUUUAACCGACGAAUCUGAAUGCCACAAAGAAAUUCAUAUGUCUAAA